CCAAGGCACCGCCAUAUCUUUGCUUGCAGGUAUCCAUCAGGCCACCGAAACAUUGCAAUGCAUCCCGGCUUUCGGUCUGUCCCGCUCCUCUGAGCUGCUUUCCGAGCAAAGCGGCAACUGUGUCAGACAGCCUGUAAGCGCCGCUAUUCAUUGGAGAGCUUGUGAUAUCGUGUAUCAUAGCAUGUUCCAUUAAUUGUAUUUAUGCAGGAUUCGUGAAAUGAAAUUGUGCUUAAAUUUGUUGGAACCCGCGAAACGUGUCUGUAGCCUUCCUUACCCUCUUUUGGCUGAACCGUCGUUUCCAGGACGCGCUCUCCAUGGAAAUGUAGAGCUGUGAAAGGCUAGGUGGAUCGGAUGCAAUAGUGAUUGCCAGAGCGUUACAAAAGCAACUAACGGCUCAGCUCAGCUACAACUCACUACUCUACAAGCAUACCAGACCAAAGAUAAACGCUCACUCAUUCCUAUUUAUUGUCGAGUUCGACAGUCGAUCAGCGAGUAUGGAGGGUGGCUCCACUCUAUCCAAAAACCAACUAUCACGCAAGCACCAGGCGACAGACUGACCGGACAUCAUUUUCCUCAACACUCCCACGCGGGCAGUCUGCAAGCCUGUUCGACUAUCACACUCCCAUAGCCAAACGAAAUCGCUUAAACAUUGCAUGACUCAACGGUUUCGUGAUGCAAUCAGCGACCAUAUCGGCUGUACCACAAUAACGAAAACAAAUUUGUUUUCGGUUUAAACCUCGCUCCCCAUCUUGUGGACGGUGUAGGACGUGCUAAUAUCAACUUGCGAGCUGACCAGGAACUAAGAUGAGGCGCCGUUAAUCCGCCAGAUUUGGUUGGAUGCUGGUGGUGAGAUGCUGAACCCAACGAAUACACUCAGAAAUUGGAUGGUGUGCAUGGAUUAGGGUGCCCCUCUCGCAGAGGAGAGCAGGGAAAUGCCUCGGGAUAGGGGGCCGCUGGUGAAGCUUAACCACCCUGUAACAAUAUACAUUCACACAUACAUUCAUACACACAGCGGUAUCUGCUGACACCGUCCAGAUUCCCCAUCACCCAUUCCCUGAUCCUCAAGGUUUACACACCACAGACCCACCUCGCAGUCAUCCUCCUUGCCGUGGCUGUGCUUGUGAUCGUGGUCAUGCUUCUCCUGAUCCCGGUUCUUCUCUGCCUCCUCCAGCACCUGC
rnacentral:lncRNA from 1 species